CUUUGUGAUGUGUCAGUUGGAUAAGUAAUAAAAACUAAAAGCGAAACCACAAUUAAUUCUAGAAUUUGGAAUAAGGGUCUUAUGUAAUCAUUUUCUAAAAAUAAUUAAAAAUGUACUUUUUAACCACAAAUGCUCAUCUUGUACUAGCUUGACUUCACGCAUUAUGAAAUGUGUUAAACUUUGGAAAGGUCACAUAUAACACAGGCGGAAGCACCGACCGGGUGUUUACAAAGCGAAUGUGCCAAGAAAGUCAAACGCUCUUCACAAAAAGGUAAAACAACCAUGUUGAUUUUGACGUUGUAGGAGAAAGUGAUUGGGUUUUUCGCCUUAACCUACCUUUAGUAGGUACACAGAUGAAGAACUUCUCACAUGUGACCUUUCCAACAUGAUUAUGCCAUGCACAAAGUCAUUGAUGCGCAUCACAGAGCUAGUGCGAGACGAGCAUUUCUGGUUAAAAAGUACAUACAUUUUAAUUUAUUUAAGAUAAGACCCUUAUUCCUCGGCUGGGAUCGUGUAGAGCCCUUUAAAGUUGCAUUAAAACUGCAAUCCCCAAUGAAGUCCACUAUAUGGAGAAAAAUCCUGGAAUGAUUUCUUAAUUUUUUUUGACUGAAGAAAAAAAGAUGUGAACAUCUUGGAGACAGAUAUCUCAACAGUGCUUUUAAGUGCAGAGUGUUUUUUGUUACUGUGGGGUUGAACUAGUCAUGUUGGCUCGCAGAAUGCCUCUCAGCACCCUGAAGUUUGCCAACGGCUGGUUUUCCUUCGGAGGGUAGCAUGGUCCACGAUCUGUCACGUAGGCAUAAGGGAAGCGUAGCACCCAGAGUCCAUCAGGGGGCAGCACCACCUCAGGCUGCUCUGGAUGGAAGAUGGGACAGGGAGGGGGACCUGGCUGGACCUAGGAGAGAAUUGAAGCACAGCAAAUGUGGAUCGUAUGGACAAUCUCAAGAGGAGCAUCUGGGACGACGACGAAAAGGCGAGCCAGUUGAGCGUAGUGUGGCUUGAUCCCUCGUCCUUGAGCUGGAGAGGGAAUGUAUAAGGGCAUAUCAGAAUUCAAGCAUCUGGUUG